rnacentral:rRNA from 1 species
CUAACCAGAAAGCCACGGCUAACUACGUGCCAGCAGCCGCGGUAAUACGUAGGUGGCAAGCGUUGUCCGGAUUUAUUGGGCGUAAAGCGAGCGCAGGCGGUUUCUUAAGUCUGAUGUGAAAGCCCCCGGCUCAACCGGGGAGGGUCAUUGGAAACUGGGAGACUUGAGUGCAGAAGAGGAGAGUGGAAUUCCAUGUGUAGCGGUGAAAUGCGUAGAUAUAUGGAGGAACACCAGUGGCGAAGGCGGCUCUCUGGUCUGUAACUGACGCUGAGGCUCGAAAGCGUGGGGAGCGAACAGGAUUAGAUACCCUGGUAGUCCACGCCGUAAACGAUGAGUGCUAAGUGUUGGAGGGUUUCCGCCCUUCAGUGCUGCAGCAAACGCAUUAAGCACUCCGCCUGGGGAGUACGACCGCAAGGUUGAAACUCAAAGGAAUUGACGGGGGCCCGCACAAGCGGUGGAGCAUGUGGUUUAAUUCGAAGCAACGCGAAGAACCUUACCAGGUCUUGACAUCCUUUGACCACUCUAGAGAUAGAGCUUCCCCUUCGGGGGCAAAGUGACAGGUGGUGCAUGGUUGUCGUCAGCUCGUGUCGUGAGAUGUUGGGUUAAGUCCCGCAACGAGCGCAACCCUUAUUGUUAGUUGCCAUCAUUUAGUUGGGCACUCUAGCGAGACUGCCGGUGACAAACCGGAGGAAGGUGGGGAUGACGUCAAAUCAUCAUGCCCCUUAUGACCUGGGCUACACACGUGCUACAAUGGGAAGUACAACGAGUUGCGAAGUCGCGAGGCUAAGCUAAUCUCUUAAAGCUUCUCU